UUGCUAAAUUUUUCUUUUUUAUGGAAUGC
rnacentral:piRNA from 1 species